GCCAUCGUGGCGCAAUGGUAGCGCAUCACCUUCCUAUCUGUGGACUUAAGGUGGGGGUUGCGGGUUCGAUCCCCGUCGUUGGUA